UACAGAGGGUGCGAGCGUUGCUCGGAAUCAUUGGGCGUAAAGAGCUCGUAGGCGGCUUGUCGCGUCGACUGUGAAAUCCCGCGGCUCAACCGCGGGUCUGCAGUCGAUACGGGCAGGCUAGAGUUCGGUAGGGGAGACUGGAAUUCCUGGUGUAGCGGUGAAAUGCGCAGAUAUCAGGAGGAACACCGAUGGCGAAGGCAGGUCUCUGGGCCGAUACUGACGCUGAGGAGCGAAAGCGUGGGGAGCGAACAGG
rnacentral:rRNA from 1 species